CCCAUUAUUUUACAGAUAGGUCGUUCGAUGUUACGCACGACUGGAACUAUGAUCCGCUGGUUUAUUCACAAAUGUGAGUCAUUGUGUCGAUGCAUUUUAUUUAAUAUUAGAACGAGAAGGAGAUGUGCAAUAUACACGCACAAGGAAACAAAUGACAGGAGGUGGGAGGGAAUGAGAAGGAGUGUAUGUAUUUGCAGCGCGGAAUGAAACAUGUGCGAUCAUACCAGCACUAAUUCAUCGGAUCCCAUCAGAACUCCACAUUUAAGUC
rnacentral:lncRNA from 1 species